ACUGCAUGCACCACACAAGCCCCCCGCCCCUUUCC
rnacentral:piRNA from 1 species